rnacentral:tRNA from 1 species
GCGCCAUUAGCUCAGCUGGAUAGAGUGGCACACUACGAAUGUGAAGGCCGGGGGUUCGAAUCCCUCAUGGCGCACCA